AUGGAGUUCCAAGGGCAGCACGACAACCCCGCCAACCGCGUGGACGAGCACGGCAACCCGUUCCCGCUGGCCGGCGGCGUCGGGGGAGCGCAGGCCGCUCCCGGCACCGGCGGGCAGUUCCAGGCCCGCAGGGAGGAGCACAAGACCGGUGGGAUCCUGCAUCGCUCCGGCAGCUCCAGCUCCAGCUCGUCUUCAGAGGACGACGGCAUGGGCGGGAGGAGGAAGAAGGGCAUGAAAGAGAAGAUCAAGGAGAAGCUCCCCGGCGGCCACAAGGACAACCAGCAGCGCAUGGCGAUGGGAACAGGGACUGGAGGAGCCUACGGGUCGGGAACAUGA
rnacentral:rRNA from 1 species